AUGGUACAAGAAAUGAUCAACAGCAGAGUGACUACAGAGGAUAAAGAUCAAUGGCUCUAUGCUUGGACUUCUCCACAUUACUCCUCCAGGAAAAUGUACAAGCUUCUCAUGGGUAAUAACUCAGCUCACAUUAUCUUCAAAAAUCUCUGGAGCACCGCAUGCAGAUUCAGACGUAAGAUUUUCUAUUGGCUGCUACUGCAAGACAGACUCAACACCAGGAAUCUUUUGCACAGGAAAAGCAUGUUCUUACAAGACUAUAACUGUGCUCUAUGCUCUGAGGAAACUCUUGUCCACCUCUUUUGGAACUGUCCUUUCUCUCUUCUAUGCUGGGAUCAUCUGACGUCCAAUAAACACAGAGGCAUUUCAGCUUGUGAUGAAACUUUGAUGACUGUCAGUCACCUUCCGGAAGAAAUUGCUUUGGACAUUGUUGGGAUGGGCUGUUGGGGUAUAUGGUCAGUUAGGAAUGACAAGAUUUUCAGAUCAGCUGCUCCACACCUGAACACUUGGAAACACUACCUUAGAGGACUCUGGACAGUUCAACUCAGGGCAAAACAGAGGGAAGCAAAGCAACUGAUUAGUUGGAUACAACAGCACCUAUAA
rnacentral:rRNA from 1 species